rnacentral:lncRNA from 1 species
AGAAAAUAUGAGAAAGACGAGUUAUUAUAAGUGAAACAGUGAUAGGGCUACUCUCUAUUGGCAUGCAGUUUGUCACACAUUUCAGCUGACACGCCAAAGGGGAGCUGCCCUAUUACUGUCUCUGCUUAAUCUUAAACGAACAACUUUGUUAAUAGUUGAUUCUGUAGAUUCUCGAACACCCACACUUGGAUCUCAAACGUCUACACUCUACAUUGGUUUUAAUUUCUACUACGUAAAAGAAGAGGCGGAGUCAGCAUACUGGCACCCCCUUCGGUUAGUUCGUGUGUUUAAUUUUGAACCCCUUAUUAAAAAAUUUAACUUCACCAUUGCGUAUAAGAGUAGGAGAGAAUUCACUACAAAAUGGCAGUAUGUUUUUUAGCUCAAAUUCAAAGUUGAAAACAGACUUGAGGGAGGUUGGGUGAAGAAUUUGAAAUUCAUUAUUGUUGGACCUUGAAGAAACAGAUCAUAUGUUACAUGUAUAUCAUAUGCAUACAUUUUAAAUAUAAUCUACCCACGUCACGUGAAUCAGUUAUAUACAUGAUAUACAUAUAAUUAAUUUUCUUUAAUAAUUAUGUUUGCAUAUUCAUUUGAUUAGGCUCACUGUAAUUUUUCAGGAAGAAAAGAAGAUGCAAUUACCUACUUUUUUUUAUUAUCUUUUGACGGACAAUUACAUACAAAUUCUAUUUUAUGCUAUUUCAAAUGAGUCUUUGUGCAUAUUUUCGUUGAAAACCAGCACAAGUAAUCCUCUCCUGCGUACUAGAUCGAGGAUAUUCACAAAAACUAUUUUUGCUAUAAUUUUUUGGGAAAAUUUCAUAAAUAGGUAAAAUGUGAAAUAUAAUAGGCCUCCUUAUUUAGAGUUUGUCUAUUUACGUAGGGUAGUUAUAGUUUAAUGGCUAAACUGAUUCGCGUUUGUAUGAUUCAGAUUUUUUUAAUUGAUUAUACAAAUUAGGGAAAAGGGUCUGAUAUACCCUUCAACUUUGUCAUUUAAAGUUGAUAUGUCCCUCAUUAAAAACUGGCUCAUAUAUAUACCCUAUUGUUAUACAAAUGGCUCGCAUAUAUACCCUUUUCCUCUAACGAAAGUGAAAAAAAUAUUUUGAUUUAAUUUUUUAAUUAUGUUUUAAAAAAAAUCCAUAUGGGGUAUAUUUGAUCCUCCACAUGCAUAUUUUUUUUAUUUAUUACCAAAAAAAAAAAAGGAAAAUGAUCCCUUAAUUUAUGGUUAUUAUAUCUAAUUAGAAUUCCUUGCCUAAUAUGACUUCUUCUUUUUUUGACGGAAAAAACACGACCCGCUGUAUAUAACAAUUGUAAAUGUAUAUAAUUGAAUCGAAUUGUAAGAAAAAAAAUUGUAGUUGAAGUAUAUCUAUUUGUAUAAGCAAUAUGAUAUAUAGCAGUUUCUAUAUGUUUAUGAAUAAAUUUAUAAUAAGUUUUUGUAUAAAUUGAGUUGUAUAAAUCAAACAAGUUGUUAUGUAUAUUGUAUUGUAGUUAAAGUAUAUAAAGCAUACUUGUAUGUGUCUUAAAAUUAUGAAAUAUAUACAAAUAAAGCAUAUUUUAAACCAAAGAUAUAUACACAUAAAAUACCUAAUAUUUUUAGUUGUGUAAUUAUACAAUAUUGGACUAGCAUAAUUAUAAUUUUCAAAAUUUGAAUUUUUAAAAUUGGCUGAAUAAAAUUUUCAAAAUUUUAAUUUUAAUUUUAAUUUGAUUAAGUUAUUUAAUUAGGAGAAGUGAGAGAUUUUAGGAGAUAGAUUAGUGGGUGUGGUAAGAGAGACUGAGAGAGUGUUUUGAUUUGUAUAAAAGAUGAAAGACAAACUUACAUGUUUUGACACAAAUGGGACCCAUUAACUACCAUAUGUUAGCUUAAAUAUGUAAUUUUCCCUAAAUUUUAUAUAUUUCAUGAUUAAAGAUAUAAAUUCUUAGCUAUAACCUGAAAAUAUUGAUAGUAUAUACUUAGCCUCAACACAUAUUUACGAUGUUUUUAAUUUGUAACGGAAUACAAGUACAAUUGUCACCAGAUUAAGCUUAAUUUGUAAUGGAAUACAAGUACAGUUGUCACCAGAUUAAGCUAUAAAAAUAGCAAACAAAAUUUGAAUUUGUGACAAAUAAUCUUUUUUUUCUUUAUUACGAUGCAAUAUCUUGUGGCUACUAAAUUUCAACACUGAUGGGCGAUUAACAUCAUUACUCAACACCCAAAGAUAAUCUUACCUAUAAAAGUAUAUGUAAUUAAUCAUGACCACAUAAUGUGCCAUUCAUAUGACAUGUGAUUUUCUUCCUUUUAAAAAAUGCUAACUACAAUUAUUUAUGGAGGGAGUCUAAUCAGAAUACCUUCAUGAAUUUCAUAUUCGAAUAGCACCAAAUCUUUCUAGUGGUCCUUAAGCACUGCCUAAAUUUUGGCUAUACAUAGUGGAUGGAUUAGACUGAAUAUGAGUGGAUUAAAAUAAAUUGAGUUAAUAAUAAACAUGUUAUUACUUGAGUUAAAAUUAAUCCAAUCAAAAUCAGAUAAAUAAUGGGUCAUAGGCUCAUAGCUCAAGACUCACGUCAUUCAACUCUUUCCAUGAUUAAGUUCUUUGUUAUUUUUUAUAAUUUAUUUAAUUACCUAAUCAAACUUCUUUUUUUUAAUUGAAAUUUUCAGGCCUUUUAUUGAUGAGAAGGAAGAGAACAGACAGAGGGGGAAAGCUAGUGGGAGAGUCCGCGACCAACCAAACUAUAUUGUUGUUGAACGGCACAUAAUUAUGGAUUCAAAAGAAUAUUUUCGUCUGAAAAAUUAUUACUAUGCAAAUAACGUUAAUUAUAUGUAUAAGUUUGUCGAAUUAUUUUUAACCCCUACUCCAAGAGCUCUCACAUUUACUCUCUUGGUGACUCGAAUUCACAACCUUAACAUUGGUAAUUUAUUUCUGUAUUUCUUCCUUUGAGACUCUCUUGUUAAGGGGGAGUUAACAUCUAUUUGAUUUACUGGGUUUGAAAUUUA